CUUAAGAAGGAAUACGUUCGUUUUUGCAGGAUUACCGUCACGGAUCUUGCGGUUUCUUUGAAUGUUUUAUAUCGUAAAAUUCGCCAUUCCAAAUUCCGAGAAUCUAACGUAGCCAAGAAGAAAUGAGAGAAGGAAAAAAGAGUUCCCUCGAGGACACGAAGAAUGACUCUCGAACUAGCUAAGGAUUCGACUCAGAUCGAAAUCGUAUGGUUGCGAUACGAGUGGGGGAAGGGGGUCACCGAUGCUGUAUCACCGUGAAUGGCCCAUUAUUUCGUUGGAAAUCAAUGGAUUUCUCUCCUUCUCUCUAGCGAGCUUAUCGACGAAACGAACGUCGAUAGUACCGAUUAUCCGAGGUAAAACUGCGGAGGUCAUUCGUUGACGGUAAGUUAGAUAGAGGCCGUCAUUAUUUUCAACACGAACAACACAAUUUUACAGAAACGCGAUAAAGUUGGAAAAAGUCAUCUCGAAGAAUACUCGCGAUAGCUGAAAAACGUUUAGGAUAUACCUGCUCUCUCUCUCUCUCUCUCUCUCUCUCUCUCUCUCUCUCUCUCGGAGAAAUACCUCCGAUUGGGAGAAAUCGUCUUUUCCCUAUAUUAAUGCAUAUCUAUAUUCCAACAAAAUGCCCCGAGAAGAAUACAAGAAAAAUCAAAGAGCCGACAGAGAGGAUGGGUUUUCGUCGCACGAACUUCUGCCUCGUCGAACAACGAUCCGUGAACGAACGACGGAAAGAACGAAAAUUGUGGGUCGAGUCGUGUCGGUGAAUGGAGAUGGACCGCGAUACGACGAGUAUCCUGCUUUUCAAAAGGUCCAGACGAAAGAAGAGAGAGAGAGAGAGAGAGAGAGAGAGAGAGACCGAAGAAGGGUGGAGAUGAAUGGCGAUAAGGACCCAAGGAUUCCGAAGAAAUCCUGAUUCGAGACAGAGAUAUUCUCCUCGAUCGGUGAUCGCUCGAGAGUUUUAUUCUCAAAGAUUGCGGUCGACCGUGAAGAGUAGUCCCUUACUCGAGCGGCCCGGACUCGAGCCAAAAGCUCCCAUUUAUAAGAAUAAGAGUGGAACAGGAUAUCCGACGAGAUAACACACCGAUCGCUUUCAAUUAUGACUCCGAGGGAAAAUCUAGCGGAGGAUUGAAAUUUUCUUCCGAUCGUUCUUUCCUUUAGUUUCUACGAACGACAAGGAAAUUCGAAGAAAUAUUAAAAACGUUGGACGCGAUGGAAAAAAUAUAAGAAUAUUCAUUGUACUUUUCUUUGUAGGAAAUAAGUAACCGCUUAUUUAAAAAGAUUAUGUAAAGUACGAUUUACUUUGGUCAAUCCAUCAUCAAAAUGAUUCCGUAUACCGGAUCCAUAUGAAAAUGAUCAACGAAAGUAAAUGAACGUAACCGACAUCACUUUGGUAGAUAUAUCCACCAGGAUCAGAGAUAGUAGGAGAAGCGCGCGAUCAAUGCCACGCUAUAAAUUUUAAGCAACAAGUCGAAUCAUCCCGAAACAUUAGCGAGGUUUAAAGAAGUAGGAUGAGAGAAGGGUGAAGGGAGAAGACACGUCGAGGAUAACGAACGAUGCACGAUCCUGAAUUGUCUAACGAGCCGGAAACCGGAAGUGCCGCGUAUGAAUCGCGAAGAAAUCGCGUUUAAUGGACGAUCCCGAAGCUGUCCAAGCUGUUUGACUUCCGUUUCUAUACGAGCCGAGACGCUUGACUUUGUCCCUUCUUUCCUCUUUCCCCACCAUCUCCUUCUUCUUCUUUUUAUUCAUGCGUCGACGGAAACGGGAAGUUCGUGCACAUGCAUUCGCGAUUACCUCCACCUUUUUCUUUGCCAAAACUAAUUCAUCUUUCGUCCCGAUUAGAAGAGUUUUAUCGCUUCUCGAAAGAGAUGUUGCCAGCGCGAUCUUCUUCUCGAAAGUUCUUUGAAAAUGGUCGAUAGAUGAAAUCUUUUCCUUCGGAAGAAAAUGUUGAGUGAUUAAAGCGAACGAGAAACAAGAGUAAUAGGUAUAUUCGAUGGACGCAAACGUAAAUGAUCGACAAACGAUUGCUAUUCUUCGUAGAGAAGCGCGCAUACAGGAAUACAACUCGCAUUCUCUGGGUUCGUAAGUGCAACGGUCAACGACGUUAUUAUUCCAGCUCAUUCCUUAUCGAAUAGGUCAUCGUCGAUGUUCUAUCUCGUUCUUGCGCGAACUCGCAGCGCAAGCAAGCUCGUGCGCACGUACGACACCGGAGACCUAGCAGAAAAUUCUUUGCUCGCUCUCUCUCUCUCUCUCUCUCUCUCUCUAUACGCAUUGCCUUCAUUCAUUUGUCAAGCGACGAAUUUCAACGCUCCAUCUACUUCUAUUUCCAUCGAAUCGAAUUUCUUCGACGCGUGCGAACAAACGAUGCGCCUACAUGCAUAUGUAGUUAUCCUAUUAGAAGAUUGCGCCACAUUGCGCCAUGUCGUUGUUCUCAACAAACUCAAAGCGUUUCUCUCUUUUUUCUUUUUCCUUUUUAUUUCUUCUUCGUCCAGCUACCUUUGAGCCGCCUUCGAGUCGGAUUUACUCGGUGCCGGGGUAAAGCUCUGCUUACCACCCGGCGUAUUACGCAAAUGCUCUCUCGCUUGUACAAUACACACGACGAGCGUUGUUAUUUCAGAACAACGUUGCGCCUACGGUGUCCCAUCUGUCGCGUAUUUACGCUUUCGCAUCGCGACUAUUAUCUUGGCCGCGUUCGUCGUUGACUUUUUUCACGACUGCCGGUUGACGACGUUUCAUUACCUUGACCCGCUUUACCGGACUAACCCAAGUAGCCGGACACUCGGUAAGUACCAAGUGCCUUUACAAUGUUCGACCAAAUACGGUCUUAGUAGUGCAGCUUUCACGAAAGACACCGUAAGGUUUUGCAAUACCGAAGGCUGCCGUUACAUGGACCAAAUAAUGAUUAAUUGCGUUCGCGAAGCGAUAAUUAAAACGUCUCGGAAACGACGUUGUAGCUUCGCGUCGAGAAUCAGCCAAACGAUAAAGAAGUAACGAAUUCGAGGCGAUCCUUUUCGACGAGCUCUUUGCUCUGAAAAUACAAACUUCCCAUAGCGUACCAUAACUUAGCCGGAGACAGAGUAAAACUAAAAAGAGAAGAGAAACGGAUCGUAAAGAAGCGCGUUUCUCGCAUCGACGAGCUUCUAGCGGAGAUGAGAUGGAAUUACAAUGAAAAGGAGUAGUCUCGACCACGGAAGAGGAUGGAAGAAGAAGAAGAAGAAGAAGAAGAAGAAGAAGAAGAAGUGAAAAAAGAAGGGACAUUCGGAAUAACACUUAAAUCGUUUUACGGAUGGUGAACUAUUUCUACCACGUCUUGGCUCGUGCCACGUCGAAGCGAGCGAGUUUCAGUUGCUUUUAGUUCAACCAGAGAGAGAGAGAGAGAGAGAGAGAGAGAGAGAGAGAGAGAGAGAGAGAGGAGGAAGAGAAGAACGUGUCGAGACUCUCGAGCUCGUAUAAACGGUAAGCAGAGGGAAAAAGGGGAGGUUCCUCGAGGUGAGACGGGAGUUGGAAAGGGAGAUUAAUGAGGUUAUGUCGUCGACUUGGUAACCAGACACCUACGGUCCUGUUUCCAUUUCACCACCGCAGAUACGUGCAAACUCUAUACCGGCUUUGGUGUGCGUAGGGGGUGUCGUGGCGCCAGGAAACAGAUAAGAAGAGCCAGAAGCAGACGGUGUUAGUGCCAGGACGUGCUAGCCUAUACGCUUUUAUCCCUCCUCGUUCUUUUUAUCAUCGACGUCAGCGCGCAUUCUCUCUCUCUCUCUCUCUCUCGCGCGCGCACUCCGACUAUCUCGAGACGAGACGUUAUAACGAGCGAGAAGCGUCGCGAAGCGAGCGACCAGUCGAGAAUCUUCGCGAGCAGCUCCCUAAUCGCGACAUCCGUCUUCUCCUUCCUACUCCUCCAUUCUUAACUCUUCCAAGUGACAAUGGUUUGCCUCGUGACUAUGAGCGCAGAUCUUUGUUCGCGAAUUGACCGGCCACGUGAGCGCAAAUCGUUUCGCGGAAGAAAUUGUAUAGAUGCUCGAACCGAACAGUCUCUUUUCCGAGUCAAAUCGGACAGACAAUAACCAGAAGAAAUUGAGCAGGCUUCUUUCGAAUUUUCUCUUAUCAAUCUACAGAUAUAUUGUUGAGAUUUUUAUUUAUCGAUGGCGUGCCCAAAAAAACAGCAAUGUCGAGCUAUCCACUGAGACGCGCGUACUACAGAGGCGCAGAAUCGAGAAAUUACAUAAAAUGUUGUAGCUCGUUACGUAACAAGCUUCUCCUCCGGUAUUUUGCUUGCGCGCGUCGAGAGAGAAAGAGAGGAGGGGGGGGGGGGGGGACAAGGGAAAAGAGAAAGAGGAAUUCGUCCAUGCACGAGUAAGUCGUCCUUUCUCGUUUGAGAUCUAUUUUAGGUAGAACGCCCACGUAAUUUGCUUGGUGCCCUUUGUUCAUCGAUAAAAAUAAGAUAAAAAGAAUAGGGAAGAUGGGAGAUUGUACGUUGCGAACGCACUACAAAAGCACCGCUAACGUUACUUUAAUUACUCGAAAUGCGGCUAUCCAACCGCAUUCGCGCAAUCUGCGCACUCUCAUCCCGAUUCCUGGCUUUCUCUCUCUCUCUCUCUCUCUCUCUCUACAUUGGAUUAUUCUCCGGUCUCUUUCGCCACAAAGCAAAGUACCGUGAAUAGAGUCGGCUCUUCGACCUCGUUCCGAUAACGUUCGAGCUUUAAUGUGAUUGCUUCCUGAUUAGCAGCGAUCGAUCGAUGUCCAAUGUACGGCCGCGUGAACGACGUCAAGCGGUUCAUUCAAAAAUGAACUACUGGCUACGAGUAGCCGUAACGUCUGCCUUUCCAAUAAAAGUUGUAGCGUAAGAGAAAAUUUCUAUGACAUGAGGUCGAUGUUCAAUAAACAAGCGUAUCGUCGCGAAAACGUUUUACGUAACUUGGUUUGCAUUAACAGGACCGGCGCGGUAAUUAAAGCCUCUCUCGUAGUCGCUUACGCCAUCAUUCGCCGCCUACAUUCACUAUAAAUAGGCAUGUUUUACCAAGAGUUUUGCACGUAAAGUGCCGGCACGCGUGUCGGUCGCACUUUGACCGCGCAUCGGCCGCGCUUCACGUCGACACGAUUUAUUUCGUUCAAACGAAUCUUCAUCGACAUGCACGUUAAUCUAGACUUUUUAAGCGUACAUAAAAGAAGCGUAUCUAUUUAAUAGGAUUAAAUGGCGAAAUAUAAAGGGCAUAUCGUAAAACGUAGGAAAUUCCUCGUCCAGCGUUUUGAAUUCGUGCCGAAAUAAAGCGGCGAGAGCACGAUGAUGCGACAAUUCGCGUCGCUCGAAAUAUCGUGGGUGAAUUAUUAUCCGCGUAUAGUAGGUACGUACUAUCGCGCGAUCCGAUUAAAACUUUGUCGACUGUGGCGUCGCUCGCCAAUGGCGACUGAACCAUCGAUUGGAUUUCCCUGGAAUGAAACCCGCCGGCGCUAUACCUCCCGCUAGACGGUACGCGCGCGCGAUAGAGUACGGGAGAGAGAGAGAGAGAGAGAGAGAGAGAGAGAGAGAGAAGGAGGAAAGGAAGCAAGAGGGUAGUAGAGAUCGAUUGUCCUUGCCUCUCAAGGCUGCUGCCGGUGCUCCGUCGAGGAGGGUGAGUUGAAAUAGAAUUUAUAGCGUACGCUUCUGGCAUAUUAAUAGAACCGACAACACAGCUCGUCCACGACGACGACGACGACGACGACGACGACGACGACGAAGCCACUGCCAGUCCAAUUUACACGACUCGCAGUGCACGCGAGUUACGGAAAUAAGAACCAAAGCAAGGUCCGACCAUUUUCUUCCAUUUCUCUUUUUCUUUCUGCUUCCUUUUUUCAUGAUAUAACCAACGGAACCAGUUACACGAUCGACGCGACCGACGGUACCGUUCGCUUCGUAAUUAACUCGCUUAUCAGAGAGUUAUAUAAAUAAGUUAUUACACGCAAGAGAAAUUGCGUCUGUAUCGGCAAUGAGCAAAAGUAACGAACGAGUUGUCCUCAGAAUCGUAGGAAAAUCAAUAAUGAAUCGAUACGACAGUCUCUUUUCCAUGUCGAAGUCAUAAAGGUAGAAACCCCUCGUUCGAUCGCUUUCUAAGGAGUACUUUCUGAGUCAUGCACGAGUCGCCAAUGAGUGUUGUCCUCGACGAGUGGAAAAAGGUAGAAUAAAAACAGUACUCGUAUGGGAAGUGCGACAACGUCCUGUGUCCUACGUUCGACGCUCGUGUCUCAUGAACGAUUCAAACUUGUCGCUUAUUCGCUUUAUCGUUCAAGUUUCACCAACGAUAAACAAACGUCCGUUAGAUAUUCCUUCGCCUAUGGUAUACUGUACCAGAUGGUUACGUUCUACAGUAUGUCCUACGCAUUAAUCCUUUCUCUUUCAUUUUCCUUUAAACGAUCUAUCUACUUGUGUAGCUCUACUUGGAAUACGAGCGAGAAGCUCCCAAAAACUUUAACGCGAAUUCAUAAAUACUGUGCCAUAUAAGAUUUAUUACAGUAGAAAACGAUCGUACGUUAAUUAUCUAAUUACCACAAAAAUAUAAUUAUCUGAUAACCAUGAAAAUAAUAUCAACGAGAUCAUUCUUACAAGUGUUGAUCGCGAAAGAUCGAUUGCCUACUCGAAUGCCCUUUCCCCGUCCGAUCGACAGACGGUCGUAAAAAAGAACUCGGGCGCAGUGCGGUGAUAACUCGACGAAUUUAAUAUCCGUUACUAAUUGGUCGCAAUUAGCAACCGAUUCGUUGGGUCCGUUCCGUUAGAUGCGAUCCUAAAAGAGUAUCUUUUUAAUUAUUCGUUAAUUAGCGAUCUGAUAAUUUUAAUCAACGGGCCCGAGAUUAAUUGACAACCUCGCGGUCUCUAUCGGCCGUUUCCUCGAUUGCUCUUUUUUUUUUUUUUUUUUUUUUUUUUUUUUUUUUUUUUUUUAAUGAAGAAAGGAGGAGGAGGAGAGAGAGAGAGAGAGAGAUGUCAAAGGGUCUAUCGCUAACAGGUAGGUACACUUCGUUCUGAACGACGAUGGGAAGAGAAACGAAUAAUUUAAGUGUCUAACUGAUAUGACCACACAACCGCUAAUACCCAUACGCAGCUAUAUAAGAAUCCUCGUUUUGUUAUUUUAUGAUGUUUU